rnacentral:pre_miRNA from 15 species
GUUGCAGUUCCUGGAAUAAAGUUGACUGUGUCGCCUGUAAGGGGAAGGCUUUUGCAUUGCUUACAAAGUCAGCAACUUGAUUCCAGCAACUGCGGCCC